UACGGAGGGAGCUAGCGUUGUUCGGAAUUACUGGGCGUAAAGCGUACGUAGGCGGCUUUGUAAGUUAGAGGUGAAAGCCCGGAGCUCAACUCCGGAACUGCCUUUAAGACUGCAUCGCUAGAAUCCGGGAGAGGUGAGUGGAAUUCCGAGUGUAGAGGUGAAAUUCGUAGAUAUUCGGAAGAACACCAGUGGCGAAGGCGGCUCACUGGACCGGUAUUGACGCUGAGGUACGAAAGCGUGGGGAGCAAACAGG
rnacentral:rRNA from 1 species